rnacentral:rRNA from 1 species
GAUGAACGCUGGCGGCGUGCCUAAUACAUGCAAGUAGAACGCUGAAGGCGGAGCUUGCUCUUCUGGAUGAGUUGCGAACGGGUGAGUAACGCGUAGGUAACCUGCCUGGUAGCGGGGGAGAACUAUUGGAAACGAUAGCUAAUACCGCAUGACAACAGUUAUUGCAUGAUAACUGUUUCAAAGGAGCACCUGCUCCUCUACCUGAUGGCCAUGCGUUGUAUUAGCACGUUGGUGAGGUAACGGCACACCAAGGCGACGAUACAUAGCCGACCACAGGGGGUGAUCGGCCAAACUUGGAUGGAGACACGUCCCAGAGUCCUAAGGGGGGCAGCAGUAGUGGACCCUCGGCAAUGGACGGAAGUCCUACCGAGCAAGUACGCGUCAGUGAAGAAGGUUCUCGGAUCGUAAAGCCCUGCUGGAAGAGAAGAACGACUGUGGGAGUGGAAAGGUCACGCUGUGACGGUAUCUUACCAGAAAGCGACGGCUAACUACGUG